rnacentral:lncRNA from 1 species
GACUCAACCAAUUCAACACAAAACAGACAGAGGAAUCUUGGACGUGAUAUUGUAAGGCGGAGCGAAUCCGGAAAGAUUGCCUCAGUUCGGAUUGUUCUCUGCAACUCGGGAACAUGAAGUUGGAAUCGCUAGUAAUCGUGGAUCAGCAUGCCGCGGUGAAUAUGUACCCGGGCCCUGUACACACUGCCCCCGUCACACCCUGGGAAUAGGUUUCGCCCGAAGCGUCGGACCAAUGAUCACCCAUGACUUCUGUGUACCACUAGUGCCACAAAGGAUUUUGGUGGUCUUAUUGGCGCAUACCACGGUGGGGUCUUCGACUGGGGUGAAGUCGUAACAAGGUAGCCGUAGGGGAACCUGUGGCUG